rnacentral:misc_RNA from 1 species
CAUCACCGCCCACACAUUUUGUGCCUUCCCAACUUGCAUUACCCUUCUUAAGUUUCAAUCCCAAUUCAAUAGGUGCCUUCUCAAUUAAACACCAAAUUUCUCCUUCAUUUAGCUCCCAUAUACAGGCAUCACCNNNNNNCCACCCACAAGUGUCAACCUCCCAUUGCGCUGCACCAAUGCGGCAAACUCAAGCUUAUCUGCCAUGGGUACUCUCAAUUCUUGCCAUUUGUUGUACCCAAU